GAAUGAAAAAUGCAGAAAAAUCGUUGGGGUUCUCCGUUCGAUCCGCGAUGCUGCUUUUUGACAGAACUUCGCACGUUAUGUCCAUUUUGUCGCAUUUCUGGACGAAAAAAUGGAGAUCUCUCGACGAGUAUCAGGAAUUGCUCGGUCCAGUCGACACGCUCGUUUUCCUGAAGCCGUAAUAUAGACGUAGAAAUAUCAAGAUAUUCCGAUGGUUUCGGGUCGUGGCACAAUUGACUCGACGAAUUCAAGUCCAAUUUAUCCAACGGCCGGUCGAUUGAUGAGCUAAUUAUUCAUCAAUUAUUCGCUGUUGGGAGCA